UACGUAGGGUGCAAGCGUUGUCCGGAAUUAUUGGGCCGUAAAGAGCUCGUAGGCGGUUUGUCGCGUCUGCUGUGAAAACUCGGGGCUUAACCCCGGGCCUGCAGUGGGUACGGGCAGACUAGAGUGCGGUAGGGGAGACUGGAAUUCCUGGUGUAGCGGUGAAAUGCGCAGAUACUCAGGAGGAACACCGGUGGCGAAGGCGGGUCUCUGGGCCGUAACUGACGCUGAGGAGCGAAAGCGUGGGGAGCGAACAGG
rnacentral:rRNA from 1 species